rnacentral:rRNA from 1 species
CACUGGGGAACCUGCCCCAUAGUCUGGGAUACCACUUGGAAACAGGUGCUAAUACCGGAUAAGAAAGCGGAUCGCAUGAUCAGCUUUUAAAAGGCGGCGUAAGCUGUCGCUAUGGGAUGGCCCCGCGGUGCAUUAGCUAGUUGGUAAGGUAAAGGCUUACCAAGGCGAUGAUGCAUAGCCAAGUUGAGAGACUGAUCGGCCACAUUGGGACUGAGACACGGCCCAAACUCCUACGGGAGGCAGCAGCU